CCUACGGGAGGCAGCAGUGAGGAAUCUUCCACAAUGGGCGAAAGCCUGAUGGAGCAACGCCGCGUGCAGGAUGAAGGCCUUCGGGUUGUAAACUGCUUUUAUAAGUGAGGAAUAUGACGGUAACUUAUGAAUAAGGAUCGGCUAACUACGUGCCAGCAGCCGCGGUCAUACGUAGGAUCCGAGCGUUAUCCGGAGUGACUGGGCGUAAAGAGUUGCGUAGGCGGUUUGUUAAGCGAAUAGUGAAACCUGGUGGCUCAACCAUACAGACUAUUAUUCGAACUGGCAAACUCGAGAGUGGUAGAGGUCACUGGAAUUUCUUGUGUAGGAGUGAAAUCCGUAGAUAUAAGAAGGAACACCGAUGGCGUAGGCAGGUGACUAGACCAUUUCUGACGCUAAGGCACGAAAGCGUGGGGAGCGAACCGGAUUAGAUACCCGGGUAGUCCACGCCGUAAACGAUGGAUACUAGCUGUUGGAGGUAUCGACCCCUUCAGUAGCGAAGCUAACGCGUUAAGUAUCCCGCCUGUGGAGUACGGCCGCAAGGCUAAAACAUAAAGGAAUUGACGGGGACCCGCACAAGCGGUGGAUCGUGUUCUUUAAUUCGAUGAUAAACGAAGAACCUUACCAGGGCUUGACAUCCAGGGAAGGUCUGCGAAAGCGGACUGUGCCUUUUGGAACCCUGUGACAGGUGCUGCAUGGCCGUCGUCAGCUCGUGUCGUGAGAUGUUUGGUUAAGUCCAUCAACGAGCGCAACCCUUGCAACUAGUUGGAUUUUUCUAGUUGGACUGCCCCGGUAACGGGGAGGAAGGAGGGGAUGAUGUCAGGUCAGUAUUGCCCUUACGUCCUGGGCUAGAAACACGAUACAAUGGCUAGUACAAUGCGCAGCGAAGCCGCGAGGUGGAGCAAAUCGCAUCAAAGCUAGUCCCAGUUCGGAUUGGAGGCUGAAACUCGCCUCCAUGAAGUCGGAAUCGCUAGUAAUCGCAGGUCAGCAUACUGCGGUGAAUACGUUCCCGGGUCUUGUACACACCGCCCGUCAAACCAUGAAAGUGACCAACACCCGAAGUCCGAUUCGUCGGCCUAAGGUGGGGGGCAUGAUUGGGGUUAAGUCGUAACAAGGUAUCCGUACCGGAAGGUGCGGAUG
rnacentral:rRNA from 1 species